GGAGUUAGCCGGUGCUUCUUCUGUGAGUGAUGUCCUUCCUGCCGGCUAUUAACCCGCAGGCCUUCUUCCUCACUGAAAGUGCUUUACAACCCGAAGGCCUUCUUCACACACGCGGCAUGGCUGGAUCAGGGUUGCCCCCAUUGUCCAAUAUUCCCCACUGCUGCCUCCCGUAGGAGUCUGGGCCGUGUCUCAGUCCCAGUGUGGCUGAUCAUCCUCUCAGACCAGCUACGGAUCGUCGCCUUGGUGAGCCGUUACCUCACCAACCAGCUAAUCCGACAUAGGCUCAUCCGAUAGCGCGAGGCCCGAAGGUCCCCCGCUUUCCCCCGUAGGGCGUAUGCGGUAUUAGCCUGGGUUUCCCCAGGUUAUCCCCCACUACCGGGCAGAUUCCUAUGCAUUACUCACCCGUCCGCCGCUCGCCACCAGGGAGCAAGCUCCCCGUGCUGCCGCUCGACUUGCAUGUGUUAGGCCUGCCGCCAGCGUUCAAUCUGAGCCAGUNACACACUCACNCGAGCGGCGGCGCGACGACGCG
rnacentral:rRNA from 1 species